UAUGCAGCUAGAGACACUAGCUCCCGG
rnacentral:piRNA from 1 species